rnacentral:misc_RNA from 1 species
CCGAGUUUACAACUCCCAAACCCAAUGUGAACCAUACCAAACUGUUGCCUCGGCGGGGUCACGCCCCGGGUGCGUCGCAGCCCCGGAACCAGGCGCCCGCCGGAGGGACCAACCAAACUCUUUCUGUAGUCCCCUCGCGGACGUUAUUUCUUACAGCUCUGAGCAGAAAUUCAAAAUGAAUCA